GCCAGUGUGGCCUAGCGGUUUGCAUGUUGGACUACAGCUCUGGAAAUCAAGGUUCAAUUCCCUGCUUAGCCA